rnacentral:rRNA from 1 species
UACGAAGGGGGCUAGCGUUGCUCGGAAUCACUGGGCGUAAAGGGCGCGUAGGCGGAUCUUUAAGUCAGGGGUGAAAGCCCAAGGCUCAACCUUGGAAUUGCCUUUGAUACUGAAGAUCUUGAGACCGGAAGAGGUAAGUGGAACUGCGAGUGUAGAGGUGAAAUUCGUAGAUAUUCGCAAGAACACCAGUGGCGAAGGCGGCUUACUGGUCCGGUUCUGACGCUGAGGCG